rnacentral:tRNA from 1 species
AAUAAAAUGCCUGAAAAAAGGAUUACUUUGAUAGAGUAAAACAUGUAAUUAAAUACUUUUAUUA